UUUAAUGAAACGCUGAUAGAACGUAGCUAACCCAUGAAAAUCCCGAACUUCAGUGACAGUUCUCGGGGUUGGCCACUCUCGUAUGGCUUUGAUCUUCUCGUCAUCCACUUGAAUUCCAUACUCUCCCAGGACAAAACCCAAGAAGAACAGCUGAUUUUUCAUGUAGCUGCACUUCUUUAUAUUGAUAUACUCUUGCUUUCGUGCAGGACAGUUAGAACCUCGUGCAAAUGUGCCACAUGCUCUUCUUUGGAACGACUAUAAAUCAACAUAUCAUCAAAGUACGUGACAACAAACUUCCCAAUUAAUGACUUAAGUACCUGGUUCAUUGACCUCAUGAAGGUAGUAGGAGCAUUAGGCCGAAUGGCAUCACAAGUCAUUCAUACAACCCUACUUUGGUCUUGAAUGCAUCUUCAACUCAUCUCCUGGCCAGAUGCAAAUAUGGAGGCAGCGACUCCUAAGAUCUAUCUUUCCAUGUAAUUGAUCGAGCAUGUCAUCAAAGCGAGGAAGAGGGAAUUUAUUGUGAACACCUAUAUUUUUCGUACCGAAAAACGUAUAUACAUAAAUAUAUACGCUCUUGCAUUAUAAGUAUAUAUGCAUAUGAAUUGGGCUUAUUAAAUGUUUCAUGGGCUUAUGCCCAGUAAGCCCAUGAUAUAUAUUUCCUUUUCCUCCUUACAUUUCCACCACCUUACUCAUAUACUGCUGUGGCUGAGUUAUCGAAAAGAAAAAGGAGGAAAGAGGUUGCAUGGCCAUUUUGUCUGAAACACAGAGAGAAAGAGAGAUUGGAAUGAGCAUAGAACAAAAAUCAAAUAGAGAGAGAGGAAGAAGUAUCGAGAUAGGAAAUCCUCUUACAAGGAAGAGCUCGACUUUGCCCUCUGGUUCAAUUGUCGACCAAUUUCGGGAGCCGAGAGGAUCGAGGCUAUACAUCCGGAAGGCUCGAAUCGUUGGUUAUCAUUUUGGGGUCUUUAUGAGCUAGGAGUUAGACUAGCAGCAUGGGAAAAUCUUUUGGACAUCGGGGAUUAGUGUGAAGGAUUUUUGUGCAGUUAGGCUCACUCAUAGUAUAAGUAGUAAGUUCUUGUAGAAUGCUAAAAUUAUAUUACGCCUUAACAUUUUGUUUAGUUGGUUUAGUGAUGUGAUUGAGAAAAAGUAUUCUCCGAAGAUAUAUAUACAUAUUAGAACUUACUGGA